rnacentral:rRNA from 1 species
AUUGAACGCUGGCGGCAUGCUUUACACAUGCAAGUCGAACGGUAACAGGGAGCUUGCUCCGCUGACGAGUGGCGAACGGGUGAGUAAUGCGUCGGAACGCGCCGAGUAGUGGGGGAUAACGCAUCGAAAGGGGUGCUAAUACCGCAUACGAACUGAGAUUGAAAGGGGGGGACCUUCGGGCCGCACGCUAUUCGAGCGGCCGAGGUCUGAUGAGCUAGUUGGUGAGGUAAAGGCUCACCAAGGCGACGCUCAGUAGCGGGUCGGAGAGGAUGAUCCGCCACACUGGGACUGAGACACGGCCCAGACUCCUACGGGAGGCAGCAGUGGGGAAUUUUGGACAAUGGGCGCAAGCCUGAACCAGCCAUGCCGCGUGUCUGAAGAAGGCCUUCGGGUUGUAAAGGACUUUUGUCCGGGAGCAAAUGCUGGUGGCUAACAUCCACCGGAGCUGAGAGUACCGGAAGAAUAAGCACCGGCUAACUACGUGCCAGCAGCCGCGGUAAAAC